rnacentral:misc_RNA from 1 species
ACAACCCUCAACUCUUAUUCUUCGCGGAAUGAGAGUUGGAUUUGAGCAUAUAUCCACCAGGUCUUACAUUUUGUGUGGGGUUCCCGGAGGAUGCUUGAAAUAAGAGGUUCGGCCGGCAGUUGCCUCAAGCAUUUCAUACUUAAUCCCGUCAAACGGAUUAUAUCCUUUGCUGCAGCCAACAUACAGGGUAACUUGCCAGUGUUCCGACUGAUGCAGGAAAGUUGAGACUUUGGGUCUCUUCUAA